rnacentral:rRNA from 1 species
UACGUAGGGUGCAAGCGUUAAUCGGAAUGACUGGGCGUAAAGGGUGUGUAGGCGGUUUUUUAAGUCUGAUGUGAAAUCCCCGGGCUCAACCUGGGAACUGCGUUGGAUACUGGAGAACUAGAGUACGUAAGAGGGGGGUGGAAUUCCAGGUGUAGCGGUGAAAUGCGUAGAUAUCUGGAGGAACACCGGUGGCGAAGGCGGCAUCCUGGACCAACACUGACGCUGAGGAGCGAAAGCCAGGGGAGCAAACGGG